AGUGAACGCUGGCGGUAGGCCUAACACAUGCAAGUCGAACGGCAGCACAGUAAGAGCUCGCUCUUACGGGUGGCGAGUGGCGGACGGGUGAGGAAUACAUCGGAAUCUACUUUUUCGUGGGGGAUAACGUAGGGAAACUUACGCUAAUACCGCAUACGACCUACGGGUGAAAGCAGGGGAUCUUCGGACCUUGCGCGAUUGAAUGGGCCGAUGUCGGAUUAGCUAGUUGGCGGGGUAAAGGCCCACCAAGGCGACGAUCCGUAGCUGGUCUGAGAGGAUGAUCAGCCACACUGGAACUGAGACACGGUCCAGACUCCUACGGGAGGCAGCAGUGGGGAAUAUUGGACAAUGGGCGCAAGCCUGAUCCAGCCAUACCGCGUGGGUGAAGAAGGCCUUCGGGUUGUAAAGCCCUUUUGUUGGGAAAGAAAAGCAGCAGGUUAAUACCCCGCUGUUCUGACGGUACCCAAAGAAUAAGCACCGGCUAACUUCGUG
rnacentral:rRNA from 1 species